UGUCUUGGAGAAGGUGAGUGCUGUCACUGGAAUGCAGACACACUAUGAAGAAGAAAGAGAGUGAGAGGGAGGGGGAUAUGUAAACUCAAGGUGGAAAGAAAAGGCAACUGAAGAGCAGAAGAGACAAGGAAACAUUUCUAAGAAUCAAUCAAACAAACAAAUCCUAUGCUGGUGGAGGAGGAGAUAGAAGUGACAGCUCAUUCUUUACUUCCAAAAUCUUGUUAUUUGGAUUCCAUCAGGACGGAAGGCAGGAGCAAGCCAGGACAUUACAUCAUAUGCUGACUAGGGAAUUAUGGGAGUUGUGGCCCACAUGACUUAAAAUUGCCGUGGUUGAGAAAGCCUGAUUAACGCCAAUAACAUAAGAGAACCAACAAGGUAUACAGUGGUCAGGGU